rnacentral:rRNA from 1 species
GUGGGGAAUAUUGGACAAUGGGCGCAAGCCUGAUCCAGCCAUGCCGCGUGAGUGAUGAAGGCCUUAGGGUUGUAAAGCUCUUUCACCGAUGAAGAUAAUGACGGUAGUCGGAGAAGAAGCCCCGGCUAACUUCGUGCCAGCAGCCGCGGUAAUACGAAGGGGGCUAGCGUUGUUCGGAUUUACUGGGCGUAAAGCGCACGUAGGCGGUUUGUUAAGUCAGGGGUGAAAUCCCGGAGCUCAACUCCGGAACUGCCUUUGAUACUGGCAAGCUAGAGUCCGGAAGAGGUAAGUGGAACUCCUAGUGUAGAGGUGGAAUUCGUAGAUAUUAGGAAGAACACCAGUGGCGAAGGCGGCUUACUGGUCCGGAACUGACGCUGAGGUGCGAAAGCGUGGGGAGCAAACAGGAUUAGAAACCCCGGUAGUCC